AAGAACAGGAACAGAACUAGGAGGCUCCAGGUAUGCAGUUUCUUUGUCUUGUUCUCUUGCAGUUGGCUUAGAUCAGCUCUGUCAGACAGGUGCCCUAGGGCAAGGUUAUGCUAAUAACAGCAUCAGAGGAAGAGGAAGACGAUGAGUUUGGCAAGACUAGGUACCACAUCCUGGGAUGUAGGGAAGAGCUGAACGCUGAAAGAGAGUCCCCCUUCUCUAGUCUGAACCAAAUGAAAAUGAAGGAUUGCAAGAAAGAACUUCAUAAAUGAAGUAACAGGAAAAGAAACAUGGCAGGAGAAAAAAACCUUAUCUGGAGGUGUAUAUCAAAGGUUUGCUUGAGUGUAUUUUGGGGACAAAGGGGAUGCCCAGGAACCAUUCACUGAGGGAGUAAAAGGACAGUGCUCUUGCUUCAUGAAAAUAGGAUCUCAGCCAGGCUGGGUUGAAAACACUGGAGAACUUUGGGUGAGAUCAGCUUCUUUAGACAAAAGAGUAACAUGUUUGUUAAGCUUAGUCUCAUGAAAAGGUGUUAUGAUUUUGUUUUACAUGUAACCAUUUGUUUCCAAUAUUCUUACUCAUUAGCACUUGAAUCUCUAUUCUUUAAUAUUAAACUUAUUCUUGUUUCACUAUAAAUAUAUCUAAGU